AGCUUAGAAAAAGAAAACAAGUCUGAGAUGACGCAAUUGGCUUUACGGAUGCAAGCCCUGGAAGAUCCUCAAGCCACCCAUGAAACCAGGGAGAUGGAAACUGCAUCUAGUCUUGACUCGGGAGGCUGCUUCCCUAAAGGGAACACUCUUUCUCAUCAACCUCUUGAGCUCAGGUUGAAACUUGAUUUUGGGGACUAGGAAGACAGACUUGUUCCAACGACUCCACCCUAUGAGCAGGAGGCUCCAUCCACAUGUAUAAACCUGCCACCAGCCCCAAGGCCCUGUGUGCUCAAGAACACCGUCUUCACCACACUCAGACCACAGCAAGUCUGUGCGAGUGCAAGCCGGGGACACAAAAACCUGACUGAGUCCUCUGCAGCCGAGAGGGUGGCCAUGUGAGGGCACAGAGCAAAACCAAAAUGAAGCUCAGCAGGGGAGAUCCCUUAUCAAACGUCCGGUGGGUGCAUUAGGACGAAAGCAGAGGCUCCAAGACACACAAGACCCUCAAGCUCAGCUCUGGCUGAUGCCAGCAACCAACAUGUUCUGACACAGAACUUAAAAACAGCCACAGGUCCAGAAAAGAGCAAUGAUGCAGCAUGAAGGCCAGGAAGACAAACGAGUUUUCACACUGUGGCUUAUUAACGCAGCUACUCCCCUGGCAUGUCAGGCCGUAAGUCACUACUACCACUUUUCCACAAGUGUCUCAUCCUAUAAAGAGUAUUCUCAACCUGAACUUUAGGAUUUGUUAUUACUGUAAUGUAUCCAGAAUAUGGGGUUAAGAAAAUGUAACCAAAACAACACAACGGACUCCAUUAGAAAAGAGAAGUGAAGUAACUGCCACUCCAUACCUCUCAUUGUCCAACGCGUCAGGUCUCGGCACUGCAACACCAAAAACAAACAUCAGUAUUAGCUGGUAGGCAAAACUAAACAUGAGAAUAUGAGGCCUGGUGGUCUGACUGUUCAAGUUUUAAUAUGUUUAGAAAAAAGUAAACAUCAAUAGCCAAGAAAAAGGAGAUUCCAUGUUAUAUUGCCAGAGUAAGGGAGCUGCAGACAAUGGAAUAAUGGUUUAUACAUAAAGGAUUUUCUCCAUGGGGAAGGAGAAGGUACAAACGGACCACAAGAGCGACAACCGAACACUUCAGCUUACAGCCAAGGUGUAUGGGAGGGCAGUGCACACACCCCUUGAGUGUCAAGACUCAUACACAUGGCUGUGCCAUGCUUCUAAGGCUGUUGUAACUACUCCAACGCUACAGACCGUCUGCUUCCUUUAGAGACACCUAUCAUCUGCUCUGACAGUAUAGUCUUUUGCUGAUUUCUUGAACUCUAUAAUAAAAUAAAGAGAGCGAAGUACUUAAAAGCUCUAGACUGCAGUGUGGACAUCCUGCCACACUUCAGUUCUCCUUUCACCCUCCCACCUGAACCGAUCUCACUGCCUUUGCCUAUAGCUGCAAACGCAGGCAAUUCUCCCACUCUCACUUCAAAAGUCCCCAAGUCGGCAUUCCUAACCCCUCCAUUCUGUAUCAACACUUAGCUCCCCCCUCUCUUCAUACUCUCCAAAACACCCACCGAGAGACUCAUGGACACCAUGGCUUCCUCCCACAAGGUCCAGCUGCAGCUUUCUAGCAGAGCUUCUGCUUGCCCUUGGCUCAGCCUAUCCCACCCUAAGAGAUGCUACCAAGUUCAUCUUUACUCAUGCAGCUCUAAUGUAAAAGAUCUUCAAUGACCUCUCACUACCUGAAUAUCUAAGCCUAACUUUCAAGGGCUUAGAAAUCUAAGUUCUCUCCUGAAAACAGACUCCUCGUUCCUACCGAAAUGCUCAUUUUUCUGUUCCCAGGAGACACUUAGCAGGUCAGGAUUCGUUUGUGCACCUGGUUGUAAGAGGAUCUUGUAAACUCGAACUAACCUCCAACUCACUACAUAGCUGAGGCUGACUCUGAGGGCCUGCUGUGCUGGCAUAGAGUAUGCCUCACUUGCCCAUGGGUCUUUAAGCAAGCUACUGCCCUGCUUGGAAAGUUGUUCUUUUUUUUUUUUUUUUUUUUUAAAGAUCUUUAUUUAUUUAUUGUAUAUAUGUGAGUACGCUGUCACUGUCUUCAGACACACCAGAAGAGGGCAUCAGAUCCCCUCACAGAUGGUUGUGAGCCACCAUGUGGUUGCUGGGAAUUGAACUCAGGGCCUCUGGAAGAGCAGACAGUGCUCUUAACCGCUGAGCCAUCUCUCCAGCCCGGAAAGUUGUUCUUUUUAACCUUCCACGUAUUUCACUUCCGUCCUUGAUUGGCUGGAGAUAACAUACAUAAAUCCAUCAACUACACACUACACUGUAUCUCUGACUUAUCCCUUGAGUUGUCAUUACCUUUUCUUCAGUGUCUAUAGUUUUUGAAAAGAGAAACUAUUUCUUAUUGCUUAUUGCAUAAUUUAAAAGAAAUUCUUGGGAGGCAAACUGAUGAUGCCUGGAACUGGGCAUGGUAGUACACACCUGUAAUCUCAAGAGUUGAGAAGAGAGGCAGGAGAAUUAGGAGUUCAAGACCACCCUAAACUCCACAGUGAAUUGGAAGCUAGCUUGAACUACAUAGACACUGGGUUUUGUUUUUUUGUUUUUAAGUAAUGGCCGGGACACGGUGGUGCACAUCUUUAAUCCCAGUACUAAAACAGGAGCAGUAAGUGAACUUUGGUGAAACUGAGGCCAGCCAAAGCAACACAGUCAGACCUGGUCUCAAAAAAUAAUAAAUAAAUAAAUAAAUAAAUAAAUAAAUAAAUAAGAAAGCUGGAAAGUGGGGGAAACACCCUCAUAGAAGGGGAGGGGGUUGGGAUAAGGAGUUUAUGGAUGGGAAACCGGGAAAGGGGAUAACAUUUGAAAUGUAAAUUUAAAAACUCCAACUAA